GGCGGCGGGCAAGAUGGCGGCGAGCAGGGCGGGUGUUUUGGCUGGACGGCGGCGGGCGAGGGCAGAGGCAGGCUGGAGUCGAGCAUGUGGGGGCCGCGGUGAGGCGAGGGUAGCCCACCGAAGGGGGACAUCUCGAAGAGAAGCAGCAAGAGCUGGGGAUCCGGUGGUUCAUUUUGGUCGUCGCCUGUGAGGCCAGCAUGCAAGAGUAAGAGGAAGCUAGGAGCAGUCUCAAAAAGAGGUGGAACCAAGGACAGCAAAUGCUGACGAGGAGAAGAGACGGACGAGCAUUUGCUUGCGGUUAAUACCGAAGGGACGGGAUGAAACAAGGAAGCCAGAAUGCAGCGGCCCCUCGAUAUCACCAGGAACUGCUACAGGAGGAGGCGUUCUGGCACGGGUAACUAGGAUUAAUUGCCACGGCUGAAGUUGAAGAGACCAAGAAACGUAAGCCGCAAAGGGGCACAUCUUGAAGAGAGGGGGCUAGACCUAGCGAUGCAGUUGUUCGUUUUGGUCGUCGCCUGUGAGGCCAGCAUGCAAGAGUAAGAGGAAGCUAGGAGCAGUCUCAAAAAGAGGUGGAACCAAGGACAGCAAAUGCUGACGAGGAGAAGAGACGGACGAGCGUUUGCUUGCGGUUAAUACCGAAGGGAGGGGAUGAAACAAGGAAGCCAGAAUGCAGCGGCCCCUCGAUAUCACCAGGAACUGCUACAGGAGGAGGCGUUCUGGCACGGGUAACUAGGGGUAGCCCACCGAAGGGGGACAUCUCGAAGAGAAGCAGCAAGAGCUGGGGAUCCGGUGGUUCAUUUUGGUCGUCGCCUGUGAGGCCAGCAUGCAAGAGUAAGAGGAAGCUAGGAGCAGUCUCAAAAAGAGGUGGAACCAAGGACAGCAAAUGCUGACGAGGAGAAGAGACGGACGAGCAUUUGCUUGCGGUUAAUACCGAAGGGACGGGAUGAAACAAGGAAGCCAGAAUGCAGCGGCCCCUCGAUAUCACCAGGAACUGCUACAGGAGGAGGCGUUCUGGCACGGGUAACUAGGAUUAAUUGCCACGGCUGAAGUUGAAGAGACCAAGAAACGUAAGCCGCAAAGGGGCACAUCUUGAAGAGAGGGGGCUAGACCUAGCGAUGCAGUUGUUCGUUUUGGUCGUCGCCUGUGAGGCCAGCAUGCAAGAGUAAGAGGAAGCUAGGAGCAGUCUCAAAAAGAGGUGGAACCAAGGACAGCAAAUGCUGACGAGGAGAAGAGACGGACGAGCGUUUGCUUGCGGUUAAUACCGAAGGGAGGGGAUGAAACAAGGAAGCCAGAAUGCAGCGGCCCCUCGAUAUCACCAGGAACUGCUACAGGAGGAGGCGUUCUGGCACGGGUAACUAGGGUAAGUAUGGCUAAUGACCGUUAGCAGUUAUUUUGGCCUCCCCGAGGCAGCGCUGAGGACUAAGUAACCUGAGGGGCUCUGGCCUGGGUUGGGGCAGAAGUGCAGGCAGGCGGGAUCAGGCAUUUUCCUCUCAGCUCUCCGAGCUGAAUCCUAGCCCUGAAGGAAAAAGCACUGGGGGGAGGCUACUCGGACACCUGCCAUGUCGAGGGCAGGGGCAGGAGCUGACCCUUCCCCGACGGACGGACGUACGGACAGACGCUGGUGCGGCGGUGACUCUUUGGAUAUCGUAGGUAAGGGGAGGCACGCUGGUGCCGAGCUCCAGGGCGGUUUGCCUGAACACGAUGCCUGAGGCAGGAGGUUACGCAUUGUGUCCGGGGCUGGGAGCUGGUCCCCGAGUCCCAUGUACUUGGGAGUGCCUGCGCUUGCCAGGGUGCCCGGUGCUGUUCCCAGAGCUGCGGGGAAUUUCCCUUGCGUUGCCUGGACCCUCGGGGCUCUUGGGGGUGUUUCCCCUCAUCGCGAGGGCUGCCAGAGCCCCUCCAGGGCUGCGUGAGGUCCCCGAACCGCUCCCGGAUUUGCUUUUGGCACUCCGCAGUGUCGCUCGUGUGCCUGGGGCAGCCUGCAGGCGCC